rnacentral:rRNA from 1 species
GAUGAACGCUAGCGGCAGGCUUAACACAUGCAAGUCGAGGGGCAGCAUAAUGGAUAGCAAUAUCUAUGGUGGCGACCGGCGCACGGGUGCGUAACGCGUAUGCAACCUACCUUUAACAGGGGGAUAACACUGAGAAAUUGGUACUAAUACCCCAUAAUAUCAUAGAAGGCAUCUUUUAUGGUUGAAAAUUCCGAUGGUUAGAGAUGGGCAUGCGUUGUAUUAGCUAGUUGGUGGGGUAACGGCUCACCAAGGCGACGAUACAUAGGGGGACUGAGAGGUUAACCCCCCACACUGGUACUGAGCCACGGACCAGACUCCUACGGGAGGAAGCAGUGAGGAAUAUUGGUCAAUGGACGAAAGUCUGAACCAGCCAUGCCGCGUGCAGGAUGACGGCUCUAUGAGUUGUAAACUGCUUUUGUACGAGGGUAAACGCAGAUACGUGUAUCUGUCUGAAAGUAUCGUACGAAUAAGGAUCGGCUAACUCCGUG